rnacentral:rRNA from 1 species
UAGGGAAUCUUCCGCAAUGGGCGAAAGCCUGACGGAGCAACGCCGCGUGAGUGAUUAAGGUCUUCGGAUCGUAAAACUCUGUUAUUAGGGAAGAACCAAUGUGUAAGUAACUAUGCACGUCUUGACGGUACCUAAUCAGAAAGCCACGGCUAACUACGUGCCAGCAGCCGCGGUAAUACGUAGGUGGCAAGCGUUAUCCGGAAUUAUUGGGCGUAAAGCGCGCGUAGGCGGUUUUUUAAGUCUGAUGUGAAAGCCCACGGCUCAACCGUGGAGGGUCAUUGGAAACUGGAAAACUUGAGUGCAGAAGAGGAAAGUGGAAUUCCAUGUGUAGCGGUGAAAUGCGAAGAGAUAUGGAGGAACACCAGUGGCGAAGGCGACUUUCUGGUCUGUAACUGACGCUGAUGUGCGAAAGCGUGGGGAUCAAACAGG